UACGGAGGGUGCGAGCGUUGUCCGGAAUCACUGGGCGUAAAGGGCGCGUAGGCGGCGCGAGCAGUCGAUCGUGAAAGUCCGGAGCUCAACUCCGGAUCGGCGGUCGAUACUCUCGUGCUUGAGCACUGUAGAGGCAGAUGGAAUUCCGGGUGUAGCGGUGGAAUGCGUAGAGAUCCGGAAGAACACCGGUGGCGAAGGCGGUCUGCUGGGCAGUAGCUGACACUGAGGCGCGACAGCGUGGGGAGCAAACAGG
rnacentral:rRNA from 1 species